CCCAGACUCCUACGGGAGGCAGCAGUGGGGAAUAUUGCACAAUGGGGGAAACCCUGAUGCAGCGACGCCGCGUGAGUGAAGAAGUAUUUCGGUAUGUAAAGCUCUAUCAGCAGGGAAGAUAAUGACGGUACCUGACUAAGAAGCCCCGGCUAACUACGUGCCAGCAGCCGCGGUAAUACGUAGGGGGCAAGCGUUGUCCGGAUUUACUGGGUGUAAAGGGAGCGUAGACGGCGGGGCAAGUCUGGAGUGAAAGGCCGGGGCCCAACCCCGGGACCGCUCUGGAAACUGCCCGGCUGGAGUGCGGGAGAGGUAAGCAGAAUUCCUAGUGUAGCGGUGAAAUGCGUAGAUAUUAGGAGGAACACCAGCGGCGAAGGCGGCUUACUGGACCGUGACUGACGUUGAGGCUCGAAAGCGUGGGGAGCAAACAGGAUUAGAUACCCCUGUAAU
rnacentral:rRNA from 1 species